UAAAGUAAAUAUGCACCAAAA
rnacentral:miRNA from 3 species